rnacentral:rRNA from 1 species
AAAGGGUGCGUAGGCGGGUAGGUAAGUCAGUGGUGAAAUCCUGGAGCUCAACUCCAGAACUGCCAUUGAUACUAUCUAUCUUGAAUAUUGUGGAGGUAAGCGGAAUAUGUCAUGUAGCGGUGAAAUGCUUAGAUAUGACAUAGAACACCCAUUGCGAAGGCAGCUUACUACGCAUAUAUUGACGCUGAGGCACGAAAGCGUGGGGAUCAAACAGGAUUAGAUACCCUGGU